rnacentral:rRNA from 1 species
CCUGAUCCAGCCAUGCCGCGUGUGUGAUGAAGGCCUUAGGGUUGUAAAGCACUUUCAGAAGUGAAGAAAGGCGUUGGGUGAAUAAUCUGACGUUUUGACGUUAGCUUCAGAAGAAGCACCGGCUAACUCCGUGCCAGCAGCCGCGGUAAUACGGAGGGUGCAAGCGUUGUUCGGAUUUACUGGGCGUAAAGGGCGUGUAGGCGGACGAUCAAGCUAGGGGUGAAAGCCCAGGGCCCAACCCUGGAACUGCCCUUAGAACUGGUUGUCUAGAAUCCGUAAGGGGAGUGUGGAAUUCCUAGUGUAGAGGUGAAAUUCGUAGAUAUUAGGAGGAACACCAGUGGCGAAAGCGGCUCUCUGGACGGUGACUGACGCUGAGGCACGAAAGCAUAGGUAGCAAACAGGAUUAGAUACCCUGGUAGUC